rnacentral:rRNA from 1 species
UGCAGUCGAACGGACCCUUCGGGGUUAGUGGCGGACGGGUGAGUAACACGUGGGAACGUGCCUUUAGGUUCGGAAUAGCUCCUGGAAACGGGUGGUAAUGCCGAAUGUGCCCUUCGGGGGAAAGAUUUAUCGCCUUUAGAGCGGCCCGCGUCUGAUUAGCUUGUUGGUGGGGUAAUGGCCCACCAAGGCUACGAUCAGUAGCUGGUCUGAGAGGAUGACCAGCCACAUUGGGACUGAGACACGGCCCAAACUCCUACGGGAGGCAGCAGUGGGGAAUCUUGCGCAAUGGGCGAAAGCCUGACGCAGCCAUGCCGCGUGUAUGAUGAAGGUCUUAGGAUUGUAAAAUACUUUCACCGGUGAAGAUAAUGACUGUAGCCGGAGAAGAAGCCCCGGCUAACUUCGUGCCAGCAGCCGCGGUAAUACGAAGGGGGCUAGCGUUGCUCGGAAUUACUGGGCGUAAAGGGAGCGUAGGCGGACAUUUAAGUCAGAGGUGAAAUCCCGGAGCUCAACUCCGGAACUGCCUUUGAUACUGGGUGUCUUGAGUGUGAGAGAGGUAUGUGGAACUCCGAGUGUAGAGGUGAAAUUCGUAGAUAUUCGGAAGAACACCAGUGGCGAAGGCGACAUACUGGCUCAUUACUGACGCUGAGGCUCGAAAGCGUGGGGAGCAAACAGGAUUAGAUACCCUGGUAGUCCACGC